rnacentral:rRNA from 1 species
CUCAGGAUGAACGCUAGCGGGAGGCCUAACACAUGCAAGCCGAGCGGUAGAGAUCUUUCGGGAUCUUGAGAGCGGCGUACGGGUGCGGAACACGUGUGCAACCUGCCUUUAUCUGGGGGAUAGCCUUUCGAAAGGAAGAUUAAUACCCCAUAAUAUAUCGAGUGGCAUCAUUUGAUAUUGAAAACUCCGGUGGAUAGAGAUGGGCACGCGCAAGAUUAGAUAGUUGGUGAGGUAACGGCUCACCAAGUCUGCGAUCUUUAGGGGGCCUGAGAGGGUGAUCCCCCACACUGGUACUGAGACACGGACCAGACUCCUACGGGAGGCAGCAGUGAGGAAUAUUGGACAAUGGGUGAGAGCCUGAUCCAGCCAUCCCGCGUGAAGGACGACGGCCCUAUGGGUUGUAAACUUCUUUUGUAUAGGGAUAAACCUACUCUCGUGAGAGUAGCUGAAGGUAC